GACAGAGGGUGCAAACGUUGUUCGGAAUUACUGGGCGUAAAGCGCGUGUAGGCGGCCCUGCAAGUCGGAUGUGAAAUCCCACGGCUCAACCGUGGAAGUGCAUUCGAAACUGCAGGGCUAGAAUCCUGGAGAGGAAGGUGGAAUGCUUGGUGUAGAGGUGAAGUUCGUAGAUAUCAAGCGGAACACCGGUGGCGAAGGCGGCCUUCUGGACAGUGACUGACGCUGAGACGCGAAAGCGUGGGGAGCAAACAGG
rnacentral:rRNA from 1 species